rnacentral:misc_RNA from 1 species
GAUGAAGAACGUAGCGAAAUGCGAUAAGUAAUGUGAAUUGCAGAAUUCAGUGAAUCAUCGAAUCUUUGAACGCACCUUGCACCCUUUGGCUAUUCCGAAGGGUAUGCCUGUUUGAGUAUCAUGAACACCUCAACUCUCAUGGUUUGCCAUGAUGAGCUUGGACUUUGGGGGUCUUGCUGGCCUGUGGUCAGCUCCUCUCAAAUGGAUUAGCUUGCCAGUGUUUGGUGGCAUCACAGGUGUGAUAACUAUCUACGCUUGUGGUUUUCCACCAGGUAACCUUCAGCAAUGGGGGUUCGCUGGGGCUCAUAAAUGUCUCUCCUCAGUGAGGACAGCUCUUUGAACGUUUGAUCUCAAAUCAAGUAGGACUACCCGCUGAACUUAAGCAUAUCAAUAAGCGGAGGA